rnacentral:rRNA from 1 species
GAUGAACGCUGGCGGCGUGCCUAAUACAUGCAAGUCGAGCGAACAGACGAGGAGCUUGCUCCUCUGACGUUAGCGGCGGACGGGUGAGUAACACGUGGAUAACCUACCUAUAAGACUGGGAUAACUUCGGGAAACCGGAGCUAAUACCGGAUAAUAUAUUGAACCGCAUGGUUCAAUAGUUAAAGACGGUUUUGCUGUCACUUAUAGAUGGAUCCGCGCCGCAUUAGCUAGUUGGUAAGGUAACGGCUUACCAAGGCAACGAUGCGUAGCCGACCUGAGAGGGUGAUCGGACACACGGGCACUGAGACACGGUCCAGACUCCUACGGGAGGCAGCAGUAGGGAAUCUUACGCAAUGGGCGAAAGCUUGACGGAGCAACGCCGCGUGAGUGAUGAAGGUCUUCGGAUCGUAAAACUCUGUUAUUAGGGAAGAACAAAUGUGUAAGUAACUAUGCACGUCUUGACGGUACCUAAUCAGAAAGCCACGGCUAACUACGUG